ensembl:lncRNA
UUUUUUGUUUUUUUGUUUGUUUGUUUGUUUUAGGGCCGCACCUGCAGCAUAUGGAGGUUCCCAGGCUAGGGGUCGAAUCAGAGCUAUAGCCACUGGCCUACGCCCCAGUCUCAGCAACGUGGGAUCCAAGCCACACCGUGGCUCAUGGCAAUGCCGGAUCCUUAACCCAUGAUCGAGACCAGGGAUAGAACCUGUGUCCUCAUGGAUAUUAGUCAGAUUCGUUUCCACUGAGCCCCAUCGGGCACUCCUAGGCUGGCUGUUCUCAGGGCACCUUUUCUUACCUCUCUCUUUUCAGUAUAACUUCAUCUUUCUGGUUGUAAAGGUUUCUCAUACAUUCUAGGAAAUCUGGAAAUCACAGUCAAGGAACCAGGACCACAGCACUCACCAUCCCGCCACCCCCUGGGCUAACAUUUUAGACUUUUUUCCUGCACACUUUUUUUUUUUUUUUUUUUGCUGGAAUGAACCAUCAACAUGGAUUUCCUGCCAGCUGUGGGGCAACUCACACUUUUUCUAAGGAGCUUUAUUACCCACAUCGGAAGAUCAGAGGGCAGACCUGAGCCCUGGGGACUCUGCUCUCCCUGCCUCGUUCUCAUCCACUCCCAGACCUGACCUGGGCCCCACUGAGAAGUGCUCCAGCUUGGGACAGGGAGUCGAGAUAGGGUGCAGCCCCAUAGUCCUGGGCUCUCCUGCCACAGACCACAAAGGUCUGGUCAGUCCUGAGUGCCCCGCGACUCGAUGUUCCCUCGUGAAAUGGGCAGGUUCAGCAGGCCACGUGGCCUCAGGGCUCCCCAGUAGGGCCCCCUCUCUGGGCUGAAGUGACAGCCACCUGGCUGGGUUGUACCCUACAGUGGCUUCCAGAAGCCACAUCGGGAGGCCCCUUGGUCUUUCCCACAAUUCCCUCCUGUCCCACCCAGACACAGGGGACGGCAGAGCAAGCCCCACUGCUGGCCCUGGUGACCUCCCCCCCAGUCCCCCAUCCCACCCUCCCUAUGCCCUCCCCCGGCAUCCCGCCAGGCCCUCCACAGACCUGCCUUGUGCAAGGUUCUCGUCCCAGGGGGACGGACAGACAGACAUCCCUGGGAAGAGGAUCAGUCUCACAGGGGGGUAGAGGGGAGGCGUGGCUUCCUGGAGGAGGCUUAAACGAUGAGUCAGGAGGGGCGGGAAGGGCUGGACAGAAGGAAGGGCAGCACCAGAAACGGCCUGAGGAGAAAGCCGGCACCUGGAUUUCUAGUCUGGGUCGGGGAGCUGGGGCAUCGCCCUUGAGAUGUUUGAAAUGAAAUCCCACAACUGUAAGAAAUAACUGUUUGUUGUUUAAGCCACCCCUCUCCCCCAAAAGAAAUGCAAUGAAAUCAGGCACCGCCCUCCCACCCGGGCCCUAAAUGGCGCAGCGACCAGGAACAUUCGCAGUGCUGGGCGAUGGUCGGAAAGGCAGCUUCUCAAGCCUUCUCCUAAAUCAGCCCAUUUGCCUUGUUUCCGGAAGGGACCCUCACCUUCCGUCUCAAAAUUUCCAUUCAACAAAUACUUGAGAAAUAUUUCUCAAGGGCCUCUCUGCAUGAGGCAUAGUGCCCCCCGCCCCCCGAGAGUGCCUGUGUGCCCAGCCCAAGAGCCAGUCUCCCCCACUUAAUGGGCAGUUCUCCCAGGCUCCCCUUCCCCGGCCACCACCAUUCACCCAGACCGUGUGCCGGGCCCUCAGUGACAAGGGAGGACAGCCACGACGGAUCUGCCCAGAAUACUAGGCAAGCUCAGGGGGUCCACAGCCAGCCCAGGACCUGUUUCCCAGGGGAGGCAGCAGCAGCAGGUGCCCGGAUACAAGCAGUUGGGGGUGGGGGGAAGCAAUGGUGUGUGCAGAACUGGGGGAGGGGGAGGGGGAGGGAAGCUGGGAGCAGAGGAUGAGAGCAAAGGAGGGGGCUGAUGGAGUUCUCACUGUGAUGCAACAGGAUAGGCAGCAUCUCUGCUGUGCUGAGACACAGGUUUGAUCCCCAGCCCCGCACAGUGGGUUAAGGUUAAGGAUCCAAUGUUGCCACAGCUGCUCGGAUCUGAUCCCUGGCCCGGGAAUUCCAUAUGAUGCAAGGUGGCGAAAAAAAGUGGGGGAAGAAAAGGGGGAAGGAGCUGAGUCACAGGGAACUGGGUCCCAGAGGGCAAGGGGUCAGGGAAUUCAUGGGGCCGGGAGUGGUUCUCGGAGUCCACGGGCCUCUGAAUCCCCACGACAGCCUUUCCUUUUCCUAUUCUUUUUUUGGGGGGCCACAUCAUUGGCAUGCAAUUUCCAGGCCAGGGAUCGAAAUGGGUUCCAGGCCAGAACCCAUGUGGCCAGGGGUUCCAUGCCACAUCAGUGACCCGAGCCACAGCAGCAACAACGCCAGAUCCUUAACCCACGAGGCCACCAAGAACUCCAGCAUCUUCAAAACUGGGUUUCCAGCCCUUGCUCUCAGCGCAGUGGGGUGGGGCCUAUUGGCCCAGGUGAGGCUGAGCGGGCCUUCCUGGGUCAGGGUCCCAGGCCUGUGGGAAGGAAGUGGCACCAGAGCCCUGAGGAGGUCAGCCUGGAGGUCAGGACACGGGUGAGGUAGCUGUCUCGGGCGUCCAGGCCUCCAAGAUCCAUCACCUCUGGGUGACCGAGGGGCCCUAGACAGGCAGCCCCAUCAAGCUUUGGGGUCCUCCUGGCUGGAUAUAACCCCAGUCCUGCCACUUCCAGCCCUGGGCCCCAGGCCCCCUCAAACUACCCAAUGGGAUAAUAAUAGUACCCACCUCGAGGGAAGGUAGGAGGCGUCUCUGAGACAAUGCAGACAAAGUGCUUGGCCCGGCGCCCAGCAAUAGUAAGUGCUCCAUAAACAGCUGCAGAUUAUGACUCAGAGGUCAAGGUUGGGGGAAAGAGCCUGGAAAGCCCUCCAUCAUGGGUCUCUGUCAACCAGAAUCUGAGGCUGCCCCUGGCCACUCUUCCUCACGCUGACCCUGUCUGGCCGGCUCCUUCUGGGAAGUUCCUGGCCUGCCUAGAGAGGGCACCCACAGGGCAGGCCCUCAGGAGGCCCCGUGUCAGAGCACAGACCCCUGCUUUCUGCCCUGGCCUUCAGCCUGUACCCCACCCCAUUCCCAGGGGUCCCACUUUAGUGGGAACC